GGAUCAUUACCGAGUGAGCGCCUCCGGGCGCGACCUCCAACCCCAUUGUUAUCCGACCACGUUGCCUCGGGGGUGACCCGGCCUUCGGGCUGCGGGCCCCCGGUGGACCCCAAUCAAACACUGCAUCUUUGCGUCUGAGUACAUAUUGAAUCAAUCAAAACUUUCAACAACGGAUCUCUUGGUUCUGGCAUCGAUGAAGAACGCAGCGAAAUGCGAUAAGUAAUGUGAAUUGCAGAAUUCAGUGAAUCAUCGAAUCUUUGAACGCACAUUGCGCCCCCUGGCAUUCCGGGGGGCAUGCCUGUUCGAGCGUCAUUACACCACUCAAGCCUGGCUUGGUAUUGGGUGCCGCGGGAGACCGCGCGCCUUAAAGUCACCGGCUGGACCGUCCGUCUCCAAGCGUUGUGGCAACUAUCCGCUGACGAGACCCCGGGCGAUCCGGCCGUUAAACUUCCCAUCAAAGGUUGACCUCGGAUCAGGUAGGGAUACCCGCUGAACUUAAGCAUAUCAAUAAGCGGAGGAAAAGAAACCAACAGGGAUUGCCCUAGUAACGGCGAGUGAAGCGGCAACAGCUCAAAUUUGAAAUCUGGCGCAAGCCCGAGUUGUAAUUUGUAGAGGAUGCUUCUGGGCAGCGGCCGGUCUAAGUCCCUUGGAACAGGGCGUCAUAGAGGGUGAGAAUCCCGUAUGCGACCGGCUGGCACCCGUCACGUAGCUCCUUCGACGAGUCGAGUUGUUUGGGAAUGCAGCUCUAAAUGGGAGGUAAAUUCCUUCUAAAGCUAAAUACCGGCCAGAGACCGAUAGCGCACAAGUAGAGUGAUCGAAAGAUGAAAAGCACUUUGGAAAGAGAGUUAAAAAGCACGUGAAAUUGUUGAAAGGGAAGGGCAUGCAACCAGACUUGUCGGCGGUGUUCCGCCGGUCUUCUGACCGGUUCACUCGCCGCCGGCAGGCCAACAUCAUCUGGGUGCGUCGGAUAAAGGCGUCGGGAAUGUGGCCCCUCGGGGUGUUAUAGCCCGACGCACAAUACGACGCCGCCCGGGUGAGGUCCGCGCU
rnacentral:rRNA from 1 species